rnacentral:rRNA from 1 species
GUAGGUGGCAAGCGUUGUCCGGAAUUAUUGGGCGUAAAGCGCGCGCAGGCGGUCCUUUAAGUCUGAUGUGAAAGCCCACGGCUCAACCGUGGAGGGUCAUUGGAAACUGGGGGACUUGAGUACAGAAGAGGAAAGCGGAAUUCCAAGUGUAGCGGUGAAAUGCGUAGAGAUUUGGAGGAACACCAGUGGCGAAGGCGGCUUUCUGGUCUGUAACUGACGCUGAGGCGCGAAAGCGUGGGGAGCAAACAGGGAUUAGAUACCCUGGUAGUCCACGCCGUAAACGAUGAGUGCUAAGUGUUAGGGGGUUUCCCGCCCCUUAGUGCUGCAGCUAACGCAUUGAGCACUCCGCCUGGGGAUACGGCCGCAAGGCUG